rnacentral:rRNA from 1 species
AGCGAACGCUGGCGGCGUGCUUAACACAUGCAAGUCGAACGUGAAAUGUAGCAAUACAGAGUAAAGUGGCGUACGGGUGAGUAACACGUGGGUAAUCUACCAAAGAGCCUGGAAUAACCGACCGAAAGGUUGGCUAAUACUGGAUAGUUCAAAUGAAAUAUAAUGUUUCGAUUGGGAAAGGGAGCGAGCAAUCGCAUUCACUUUUUGAUGAGCCCGCGUCUGAUUAGCUAGUUGGUAGGGUAAUGGCCUACCAAGGGGACGAUCAGUAGCUGGUCUGAGAGGAUGAUCAGCCACACUGGAACUGAAACACGGUCCAGACUCCUACGGGAGGCAGCAGUGGGGAAUCUUGCGCAAUGGACGAAAGUCUGACGCAGCCACGCCGCGUGAGUGAAGAAGGCCUUCGGGUUGUAAAGCUCUGUCGGAAGGGACAAAAACGUUUAAGGUUAAUAGCCUUAGAUCUUGAUGGUACCUUCAAAGGAAGCACCGGCUAACUUCGUGCCAGCCGCCGCAGUAA